CUUAAAGAUGUUUCUAGAAUAGGUUCAAAUUUGAUCUAAUCAAGUCUGACUCUAUGGAUUUACUAGAUUGUGUCGGUUCUUUUACUAAUCGAACUUUAUCAAGUACAAUCUUUGAGGCAUUAGUUCUUUCAUUAAGAAACUUUUUUUCUAAAAAGACUGCCCUAUUACUGACAAACACCUUCUGUUCAUCAGCAAGGUAGAAGUAAUAUCCCU
rnacentral:lncRNA from 1 species